AGGCCUGGAAAUCCACGCGGCUUCCCAAAGACGGCGCCUCUGUUCUGCGGGUUCGUGACGAGGAUUUAUUUCCACCCACUGCGCCUGGGCGCAGGUCUGCGGGUCCGCGCCCACUGCGUGCGGCGCCACGGACCAUGUCGGUGACUGAUCAGGCUUUUGUCACACUGGCCACAGAUGACAUCUACUGCCAGGGCGCCCUGGUCCUGGGGCAGUCACUGAGGAGACACAGGCUGACGAGGAAGCUGGUGGUGUUGAUCACUCCUCAGGUGUCCAGCCUGCUCAGGGACAUGGAUGAAGCUGGAAACCAUGACUCUGAGCAAACUAUUGCAGGGAUAGAAAACCAAACACUGCAUGUUCUCACUCAUAGGUGGGAAUUGAACAAUGAGAACACUUGGACACAGGGUGGAGAACAUCACACACUGGAGCCAGUCGUGGGGCGGGGAGAGGGGGGAGGGAUAGCUUUAGGAGAUAUACCUAAUGUAAAUGAUGAGUAAACGGGUGCAGCACACCAACAUGGUACAUGUAUAUAUAUGUAUCAAACCUGCACAUUGUGCACAUGUACCCUAGAACUUAAAGUAUAAUAAAAAAAAUUUAUAAAUAAAAAUGUUUAGGCAAUUAAAAAA
rnacentral:lncRNA from 1 species